rnacentral:pre_miRNA from 1 species
AAUGAGCAAAUUAGUCUUUGUACAUUAGAUGAAAGCGCAAAUUUGUCCUUUUCUGUUAAAAGUUUCAUUUAUUUGAUCUAACGUACAGAGACUAGUUUGCCCAU